UGGUGAAGGCUUGCCUUUACCAGCCGGCGACCGGUGCACGGGUGAGUAACACGUAUGCAACCUGCCUGCCACAGCCGGAUAAUCGGGAGAAAUCCCGUCUAAUACGGCAUAAUGCACCUAUGGGACAUCCUGUUGGUGCCAAAGGUUAAUUCCGGUGGCGGAUGGGCAUGCGUCGCAUUAGUUAGUUGGCGGUGUAACGGACCACCAAGACGACGAUGCGUAGGGGUUCUGAGAGGAAGGCCCCCCACACUGGUACUGAGACACGGACCAGACUCCUACGGGAGGCAGCAGUGAGGAAUAUUGGUCAAUGGGCGGGAGCCUGAACCAGCCAAGUCGCGUGAGGGAUGACGGCCCUAUGGGUUGUAAACCUCUUUUGCCGGGGAGCAAAGUGCCGCACGUGUGCGGUUUGGAGAGUACCCGGAGAAAAAGCAUCGGCUAACUCCGUGCCAGCAGCCGCGGUAAUACGGAGGAUGCGAGCGUUAUCCGGAUUUAUUGGGUUUAAAGGGUGCGUAGGCGGACGCUUAAGUCAGCGGUAAAAUUGCGGGGCUCAACCUCGUCGAGCCGUUGAAACUGGGUGUCUUGAGUGGGCGAGAAGUACGCGGAAUGCGUGGUGUAGCGGUGAAAUGCAUAGAUAUCACGCAGAACUCCGAUUGCGAAGGCAGCGUACCGGCGCCCAACUGACGCUGAAGCACGAAGGCGUGGGUAUCGAACAGGAUUAGAUACCCUGGUAGUCCACGCAGUAAACGAUGAAUGCUAGUUGUC
rnacentral:rRNA from 1 species